AGCAUUGACGAAGCACUUGUUACUAUGAUUGCAUGAAACUUAUGCCAAGAAUUUACUUAACGUGAUUGAGAUCAUCAACCUUUACUACCUUGUGAAUAUAAUUCCAUAACGAUUAGGUGAAAUUUCCUUAUAUCCUAGCAUUCAAUUUAUGCAUGAUAAUUAAGCGUGCACUCUCAACCAACACACACAAAUCAAUGUAAUUCCACAUAGAUAAGUAAAUUGAAUUCACAACUUAUGAAACGCAAUUAGAAGUAAUCAAAUCAUAACGCAAGCAUAAACAUGUAUUUCGAAUCCCCCCCUAGCCAAGGGGGGUUUAGUUCCUCAUAUGCACAAAACAAAGAGAAUUGAAUUUAAACAUUGAAAUCAAAGGAAAAGAAACACCUAGAAAUUCCAGCGACGCGAACUUGAAUUGCAUGAACUUCCGAGCUUCCUUCUCCUCCUCCUUGGUGCGGCAAAGGGUCUAGGGACUAGUUUAGGACCUUAGGUGUAUGGAUGCAUGGUUAUGGAUGGAUGUAGUAGUGUUUAGGGGAAGAGAAUGGUGCGGCAAAGGUGUGGAGAGAGCUUGGACGAAUUUCUGGAGUGAAUUCUGAAUUAUGGUGAGUGGUGAUCUGAUUUAGGGGUUAAUAGGAGUAUAUAUAGGCACUUAAAACCCUAGGGUAAUCAGAUAUGGACUUGGAUAACCCAAAUCCACAAGGAAAUAGGUCUAAACAAUCAGAUUUUGCAAGGGAAAAGGGGUCCUAGGUGCGGCUGGAUAGGGAUAAGGUGGAUAAGGCUUCUAGAUGGCCUUGCAAGGCAAGGAAAUUAGGUUUCUAGAAGGGAUAGGUGCGGCACUUAAAGGAUAGGGCAGAUUAGGGCUUCUAGAAACCCUCUAAUGCAAGGAAAACUCACGACAAGGAUGGAUAAGGUUUCUAGAACAAGGAUAAGGUAUCCUAAAUGGAUAAGGACUCCUCAUUGCACUUGGAAACUUUGGCUAUUAGGAUUAGGAAACCUUGUCCUUGUCAUUCCUUCUUCAUUCUGGAUUCCUUUUCCUUCUUGGACUUGGAAAUCUUCUUUGUAGCUGCAACUUGAUGCCAUUUGGAUUUAACUUUCCUACUUCAAGUAGGAAACCUUGUUUGAGUAGGAAUCUUCAUCUUUCAGGGAAUCUUAAUUCAACUAGGAAACCCAUUUUGACUAGGAAUCCUAAUUCAACUAGGAUUCCAUCUUCACUUAGGCGCUUUCCUACUUAAACUAGGAAACCUUGUUCAAGUAGGAAACAUCAUCUUCAAAUCUUCAAUUUCGUCCAUCCUCUUGGCUCCAAGCAUAUGACAUCCAUUCCAAGCUCAACUUUGCUCCAAAAAGCUCCAAAAUGCAUCCUUUUUCAUAUUUUGCCCUUAGAACCUGAAAACACAUAAAACUAGCUUAAAAGACUACUUUACUAAGCAAAAACACUAUAAAUGCACAAGAACAAGCUAAACUAAGGCGCAUAAAUGUGCUCCUAUCAACAGACACAAUAUUAUGCAUGCAAGACUACUAUAUGCAUGCAACCUGACUAAAGAAGGGUGGAGAUGAUAUGAAUGCGAUUCUGGAAUGGCUUGCUAUUUAUAGGGAACACACACACACACACACACACACACAAUAUUAUGCAUGCAAGACUACUAUAUGCAUGCAACCUGACUAAAGAGGGGUGGAGAUGAUAUGAAUGAGAUUGUGGAAUGGCUUGCUAUUUAUAGGGAACACACACACACACACACACGCAUGCACGCGCGCACACACGCACACACACACACACACAAUAUUAUGCAGGCAAGACUACUAUAUGCAUGCAACCUGACUAAAGAGGGGUGGAGAUGAUAUGAAUGGGAUUGUGGAAUGACUUGCUAUUUACAGGGAACACACACACACACACACACAAUAUUAUGCAUGCAAGACUACUAUAUGCAUGCAACCUGACUAAAGAAGGGUGGAGAUGAUAUGAAUGGGAUUGUGGAAUGGCUUACUAUUUAUAGAGAACACACACACACACACACACAAUAUUAUGCAUGCAAGACUACUAUAUGCAUGCAACCUGACUAAAGAGGAGUGGAGAUGAUAUGAAUGGGAUUGUGGAAUGGCUUGCUAUUUAUAGGGAACACACACACACACAAUAAUAUGCAUGCAAGACUACUAUAUGCAUGCAACCUGACUAAAGAGGGGUGGAGAUGAUAUGAAUAGGAUUGUGGAAUGGCUUGCUAUUUAUGGGGAACACACACACACACACACACAUACAAUAUUAUGCAUGCAAGACUACUAUAUGCAUGCAACCUGACUAAAGAGGGGUGGAGAUGAUAUGAAUGGGAUUAUGGAAUGGCUUGCUAUUUAUAGGGAACACACACACACACACACACUGAAGGAAAAAUUUUGUCCUAGCUAAGAACAUGUGAGAAUAUUUGAACACAUGUGCAAACUAUUUACACAUUAAAGUAGGCGUGCAUUCAAAAACAAUUCUAAAACCCAUGACUUUCAAAGCCUAGUGAAUGGUGAACCAAGAAACUCUUUAACAACAUUAAAGAGAAAGAAGGUUUUAGAGAUUCAUUACCCUUGAAGCUCAUCCUUGUUUACGCAAGGGAUUCACCCAAGUGGAGGGCCUUCAAGUCACCUCCUAACUCCUUGGAUCUUCCUUGUGAUUUCCUUCCUUUUGAUGCUCCUUUGCUCCUUGAGGAUGUGAGGAAAGGAUCUCCAAAAACACCAAAGAUUUGGUGUCUCUAAGUCUCCACACCAAGGAUGAGGUGUGAAGAUAAAAUGGAUGACUUAGAGAAGAAAAGAUUGCUAGCUAAAUCCUCUCUAAGUGGCCGGCCUCCUUGUAGAGAAAAGAGAGAAAAUGUUUCACCUCUUUGCCUCAAAGAAAACCCUAAUGAGAAAAUAGCUAUAAAGUUAACUUUAUACUACAUCACAUUUGAGUGGCAAACUUGUAAUUAAUUCAAGUUUGAAUCCACUCACCCUUAUGGCCGGCCUUGUUUUUGUUAUUGGGCUAAUUGCCCAUUUUGUUUUAGUUGUCAUACAACUUAAACAUAAUGGGCUUUGUGGGCCAAAACACUUUUGGGCCCCGAAACCCAAAACCAACUUAAAAGCCCAAUACGAACCUUUCGUAAAAUUAAUUAACUAAUUAAUUAAUCUUGACCAUUCUCAAUUACACCAUUUAAUUGCUUAUCCAUCUCAUUUAUAUUUCUUCACUUUCAUCCUUACCUCGGUGUACAAUCCAUUAGGUUCCAAUUAGUGAGGCAGUGGGCGAUUGUUACUCUUAACGAUCGAUUGUGAAUUGAAACAACAUUUCAAUUCUCCCUUUGUUGAAGAUUAGUGUUUGCUAAUCUUCAGGGCUUCCACAAACCAUGAGUGACACUUAGCAGCAUGUCAUGGCUACCCAAGCUAAAUAGAAUUGGUUGGAAAACCUAUCCAGUUACAAUUUCAAUGCAAUACGGUCCUUCUCUAAUACAAUACUCUUAAUCACAUUGUUUGAGUGAUAGUUUGUUUCAUGUCUACUAUCCAAUGUAAUACUUAUCUAUAUGAUUCAAUUGAAUAUGAUUUGGAACAUACUUCCUAAGUCAUAUUCGUAUGCUUUGGCCAAAGACUCCCGAAUCAUAUCUUAGAGUAUUCUCCUUCCACUAUGGAAGGUUAGAGAUCCCUUGUUGUGCAUUCAUAUGCCUACAUGACUAGAUAGCUUGACCCUAACAAUGCCGUGGACACUCUCGAUGGAAUGCCUUUGACAUGAUCAAAGAUCAAGGACCUAACCAUUAGACAUCUAUGAUGCCUCAGGUCAAAUGACUACUUUGCAUAUUGCAACUUACAAGUUCUUACAUGACAUGUAUGUUCGAACUCUCUUUUGAUCGUUGUUCAGUGUACUCGAUUACUCUUUCAAGCACCUAUGUGUUUGUCUUAGUGUCCAACACUAAAUGACUUGAGACUAGUCAUACUCACGCUUGAGUUGUCAUAACACAUACUAACCUUAGCGGAUUGUCAAUGCCCAAUUGGCAAUCCUAUGGCUAGGAACGUUUUACGAAUGAACAUAAGAGAAAGGUCUCGUUAAUCUAACGUACUUAAAUCACUUCUCUCUUAGAUCAAAUACAUUCCUUGGAUUCCUUUAUUGCUUAAACACAUGAUACAAUAAAUAGUGAUUAACAAUAAGCUUUGCCCUUCAUUAAACAUAUAAUAGUUUAAUACAUUAAGUAUUCCAAAAGCUAUUACAUCAAAUGAGUGGCUUUGUGGGCAUACUUCCAACACACACAAUAUUAUGCAUGCAAGACUACUAUAUGCAUGCAACUUGACUAAAGAGGGGUGGAGAUGAGAUGAAUGGGAUUGUGGAAUGGCUUGUUAUUUAUAGAGAACACAUACACACACACACACACACACACACACACACAAUAUUAUGCAUGCAAGACAACUAUAUGCAUGCAACCUGACUAAAGAGGGGUGGAGAUGAUAUGAAUGGGAUUGUGGAAUGGCUUGCUAUUUAUAGGGAACACACACACACACAAUAUUAUACGCGCACGCACGUAUGCACACACACACACACACAACAUUAUGCAUGCAAGACUACUUUAUGCAUGCAACCUGACUAAAGAGGGGUGGAGAUUAUAUGAAUGGGAUUGUGGAAUGGCUUGCUAUUUAUAGGGAACACACACACACACAAUAUUAUGCAUGCAAGACUACUAUAUACGUGCAACCUGACUAAAGAGGGGUGGAGAUAAUAUGAAUGGGAUUGUGGAAUGGCUUGCUAUUUAUAGGGAACACACACACACACAUAAUAUUAUGCGCUCACGCACACACGCGCGCACACACACACACAAUAUUAUGCAUGCAAGACUACUAUAUGCAUGCAACCUGACUAAAGAGAGCUGGAGAUGAUAUGAAUGGGAUUGUGGAAUGACUUGCUAUUUAUAGAGAACACACACACACACAAACACAUACACACACACACACACACACACACACACACACACACACACACAAUAUUAUGCGCGCGCGCACACACACAAUAUUAUGCAUGCAAGACUACUAUAUGCAUGCAACCUGACUAAAGAGGGGUGCAAAUGAUAUGAAUGGGAUUGUGGAAUGGCUUGCUAUUUAUAGGGAAAAGAAGCUGCUGAAACUUCCUCCUAAUUGGUGGGUUUUAACAACUAUUGAAAGCUGGCAUGAAAGAUGUUAAAUGCAUGGCUAAUGACUCACGCGUUUGAGAGCCAAGGGUACAUGACUAACCAUUUGUCAUUAGAGUAUUCGACAAGUGUUUCUGACUGUCCAAGUGGCUAAGCGUUGGUUGAUGAGUGGCAAAUAAAUACAAGUGGACAACAAAAUUAAGACACGUGGCAAUUGAAGAUGAUGACAAAAAGAGAAAUAUCUCUUCGUACAUAAACUGAAGGAUUAGGAUUUGGCAUUCUAAGAUAAUGGAGGGAUGAAUAGGCUUAAUUAGUGACUAAGCUAUGCAUGCAAACGUGUAGCAUGCACGACAUGAUUUCACGAAAAUAUGUGAUGGUUCCAUAAGGAAUUGGUUAUUGCAAACGGGUUGAAUAAGAGGAUAUGGGUCAAAAUACUAUAUAAUAAAUAAAUCUAAAAAUACGAGUUCUCACACAUUCACAAGCUUGGCUUGAUUGUAUGCCUAGAACAACUUAUCACUCUUGAUUCUCGUUGAAGAUCGCUCCAUUUCUAGGACUUAUCAUAUGAAUUGCACCCCCCUGGGGACCAACCAUGCUCUCUAGUGCGAUAGGGUACAGUAAUUCCCAGACACCCAUUUGGGUCUGCUCUCCAAUUAAAGAGGGUAAACUAAUUCCCUGGCACCCAUUUGGGUAUGCUCUCUGAUGCGAAAGGGUAAACUAUACAUUCUGAAUAUCCAGACGUGGAUGGAUCAGACUGCCCUGGUGUAACUAGGUGCACGAUGGAUUGCACUGGGAUUCCUAAAAGUAACCACAAUGGUCUUUUUUCAAGGCUUAACUAACUGAAGGAUUUUUGGUCUUUUGGCCUAAUCUGCAAGGAACUGGUCCUCAGAGAUGAAGGAGGCACAUUACGGAGUACUAACUAUGGAAGGUUGCCCUGGAACCCUAAAGUUGCUAUUGAGUGCACUAAAGUAGCCUACUGUUUCCAGAAGACUGCUUACGGCUUGCCCUUCGAGUAGUAAGUUGGGCUAAACUUAUACAACCACUUAUUUUUGUGAAAGGUUAAACAGUUAGCAUGCAUAUACGAAGCUCUAUACACUACUGACAUGCUACUCAGUCAAUAAGCUUCAUCUCAGCCAAGCACGAAAUGAUCAUUUAGAUCUACACUAAUUUCUAAAGUGUUGUGAUACUUGCUACGCAACCCACAUAAUUGGUUACAUAAAUUCCAUACAACCAUGUACUUUUGAUACGAAAGGUUAGCGAAUUUUAUGCCCAAGAAAUCAUUAGUAUGUUGUGAUGCAGGCCACACAGCUUAAAGGAUUGAAGAAAGCCAAAGUUAACAGCCAAGUGGUCACGUGGACUUGUUUGUUUCUAUAAGUAAGCCGACAGUAUGGCUAACAGCUUUAGAAAAGUUCUACACCAAAACCUACGGCUGUAUAGGCUACGUGGGCCUGUAUGCUUAUAGAAAAGCAGCACGCUUGCCGCUGGUCUAAAAGUCAAAGGUUGGGUGUAAACAAAAGAAGCGAAGAUGAAGAAAGGUGAAUGAAGUUUAUUAAAUUUUCUAGAAAAAUUAAUAAACAAAUAGCAAAGGCUAAUGAGUUCAAGCAAAGCAAAAAGUAACAAGGAAAAUAAAGAAAAUCCUAAAGGAUACCUAAAAGACUACGCUACAGCGGCUUGGACAUCUCAUGACUACUCCGUCACCACACCUUCAGCAGCCACCACACUCUUAGCAGCAGCAUCAUCCAAUGUUUCAUCCUCGGUUGCCCCAUCAUGGGAACCAACUUCUCCGACUAUUUCACCAAUGAAAGCUUUAAAAGUAAAGGCAAGCAAGUCUUCUAGAGAAAUAGAGAAGGUCUUGAGGUCUUUCCCAACAAACUCAAAAGUCAGAGGGCCUACCAAAGAGAUGAUCUACAUAACCUAACUUGUAGAAAUCAGCCUGACAUUAAACAAGCGAAGCCUCGAGUCCAACCUUCUCACUCUUCAGUUGCUCAGUCUCCUCGAGCAAAUUAACAUGAACGCGUUGUAGCUCAUCCACUUCCUUCUUCAGACUUUCAUUGAUCUUCUGCACACCUUAGAGUUCCAACACUUGGGGUUCAAGAUUAUUAACGAUAUUCUGGAAGUGGAUUACUUGAUUAUACGUAGCAAUGAACUCUUCAUCCUUUGCAAAGAUAGCAGAACAAAGCCUUGAAAUGGCACGCUCAAGAUCUUGGAUCUGAGGUAUGUAAUGACCAAUCUCUUUCUCUGCACUUUCAUACUUAACUUGGAUCGUGUUAAGCUUAGUCUUCAAGUCGACGAUCUUCUGGCGAGCGGUCUUAAGCUGCAGAGAAGUGGGGGCAGAGAUAUUGGACCCCUUUAAAACAAUGAGCUCAGACUCCCAACUUUUUGAUAUUUUUGGCAAAAAAAUAAGCCUCAGCUGCCAUAAUCGUUGUCAUCUCCUUGGGAACCUCAGUAUUCUCUUGGUCAAAGAGCAUAAACUCGACACCCAGAAUCGUUGUGUUCUGCAUUAUAACAAGCAGAGCAAUCUUUUUAUAUUGGGUCACAUACUUCACAAAGAAACUUAGGCAAACAACCCCUUUGACGCCAUCAACAAGUUUGGCACACACGUCCAUAUGUUCAAGCAGAUCGGGCUUCAAAAACGUAAAAAUCUCAGUAAACUCUCCAGAAACAAGCUUGGUAGAUUUCUCACAAUUGCCCACACGAGUAGUUUCCUCUUUCUCAGUAGGCGAACCAAUUUCGACAGCAAGAAGAAUGGACCCAGGUGCCACUUUAGCAGCAUAGUCCACCUUAUCGCUCUUCAUAGUAGCAAGUCUCUUCAAAGGUGAACUGGACUGAGCUCUCAAUGGACAUCUUGGUACAAACUUUGAAUUGGGGACACAACAAAACCUUUAUGCUAAGCAAUCCUAUUAGCAAUUGUAGUAGCCAUUUUCAGCAUAGCAGACAUCACAGGCUUAGAUCUAGCUGCAUCAUCUUUCUUCCCCUUGGAAAAAGUCAAGUCAAUCAAGCCUUUCGGCAGCAGACGGACCUUCACGAGCAGCGAAUGAAGUGUUCGAUUUUUUCCCACCCAUAAUCUUUUGAGCAGGCGAGGAAGAUCUCCUCUUUCCACUUUCAUUCACAGCAGGCACCAUGAUAGUGAUCAGAUGAGCUAAUGCCUCUAGCUUGAUCCGCUUUAUCUCCUCUAUCAGGGGCAGCCUACCUUUCUCCCAACGAAGAGGGCUAAGCAGCCACGCCAGGCCCCAUGACCUGGUCCCUGCCAUUCUCUCGGCCCACAGGCCUCGAGGCCCAGUCCAAAAGGAAGGGUCUCCAUGCCUCCCUCUUUCUUUCGCAUCUCUCCCGCACGGGCCUAAGCCCAGCGACCCAAAGUCAGCGCCCCAGCGACUAACCCAAGCCGAGCCCCAACUCACCUUCAUAGCCUACGUUACUACAGCCAAUCCUCAACUCGUGCUGAGCCUCCAUCACACCAAGCUGACAACAAUAGCCCGACAGUUGCAACAAUGUCGUGGCUUGCCAACUACUUUUUGACAUAUCCUCAACCCCUGUCGAGCCAAAUUUCAAGCCCUGAGGCUCCAAAAAAUUAAGAAGACAAGGAUUAAAGUUUUCUUACCUUGGUGCGGCGUGAAGGCGAAGAAAGCAAUGAAGGACAGUCCUUUGCACGGGCAAGUGAAGAAGAUUGCUAGGGGAUGGGGAACAAAUAUCCUCUAUCUUUCUCUCUCUUGUAAGGUUGAAUAAAUUUCUUUCUAAAGUUGAUUUAAUCAUCUACUUAAGGUAGACUUAGAUAGACUUUAGAAGUAAUUUAUUUCCCUUUCCUAGAAGGAUCUAAUUUCCAAUCAAAGUGGGAAUCUACAUCAAAAUAGGAAACAAUAUUAUGUUUCGUAAAGCAAGGGAAGAUCUUUACACCUACUACACUUUCCUGCGAGCAGCCCAACAGGUGUGGGGCAUUUGUGGGGCCAAAAAAUUAUGGAGGUGACACGUGGACUUUUGGGUUAAAAUGACAAAAUUACCCUUAAGGCACACCAGGAUUCCCACGCACAUGCAACGAGCAAUAACGGCUCAAUCAAGGAAGAGUCAAAGGUGAUGGAUAUGGUAUUUAUUCAAAUCCUUCUCAUCACUCCUCAUCAAUCCCAUAUUGAUUUUAUUCAAAAGGUAACUCUCAAAACUUCCUAUUUAAUUUUGGAAUAAUUGUCAUGUUAAUUCCAAGAUAUUACUUCACAUAAUAUCUUGCAAUUAUUCUCCAAUUACCACCAUAUAUGGCCGGCCAUUCCUCCACCAAUAAGGCCGGCCACCCUCCUAUAAAUACCCCUAUUAUCCCACUAAAAUGCUAAGCCAUUUGCUACAUACAAACUCCUAAACACAUUAUUUUCAGAAUUCUAACUUUGGUAUCGAAGAUUCUUCGGCCAAAGCCCCUCCAUUCAUUGUGGACGCGUGAAGCUUUUGGCCUUAAUCUUAGGUGUUAUUAUUUUGCAGGUGCAUUUUCGUCCAAGGAGAAUACAGCAGAAAUUUGCAUCCACAACCACAACUCCUCACUUUGGUCCGUGAGAUUUGAAAUCAAUAGAAGUGGUCCCUGAGUUUGUCCACCAUCAAUCAAUUUGGUCAUUAUGUGAAAAAUUAUGUUAAAUAAGGACCAAAAUGACAAAAAUACCCUCAAUUUAAUAAACAAUGGACAAAAUUCCGUUGACAAAAAAUGAGAGUAUUUUUGUCAUUUAUCCUUAUUUUAUGGAGAUUUUUCACAAAAUGACUAAAAUGAUUGAUGGUGGACAAACUCAUGAACCACUUCUAUCGAUUCAAAUCUUAAGGACCAAAGUGAUAAAUUAUGUCAAUCUCAAUGAUUAUUUUGACUAAAAAAACCUUUUAUGGGUUUUUUUUUUCUCGAAGAAAAAACCUUUUAUGUGUUAGUUGUCACAGAAGACGAUUCAUUGCUCUUAUGCAUUUGGAGUUACAUAUUUAUUAGUUGUCAUCGUAUGUGCCAUUCAGCUGAUGUCAUCAUACAUGUUACAUAUUCAGCUGAUGUCAUCGUAUGUGCUAUCUUGCACAAUGUAUAUUGCUAAACAAUUAUAUCUUUGAACUGUGAAUUUAAACUAGGGAACUUUAACGAAAAGCACAUGGUAUUGUUCACUUUAAUGAAAAAUCACAUUUUUACACUAAAAAGUCAAUCAUGGUACUAUUCACUUUACCCUUUAUUUUGUCCUUAUCAUUAAAACUCAAAGUUUUCAAGCUCUUUUCAUUAGUUUUCCUUUUAAACUACCCAUUGUGACAGCAAUCAAUUAUUUAACUGCAACAGAAAUAUCUAUGUCAAAUAAUUUGACAAGAUAACAUCAAUUUUCAAACAAAAUAAUGUGUUUUUCCAUAGCAAAAAACGUUAGAGCCUUGAAAAUAUCCAUUGAUACAUCCAAUAACUAAUAUGUUAUGCACCAUCAGAUAAUCAAUCAUAUCAGCCAAACUUAAACAAUAACUUAAAUGUAGUUUCUAAUGAAUUGAUCAGUGAAUCUGGAACAUUAUUCCGUUUGGUACCACAGAAGUCCAGGGGGAUCCACUUCAUGGACAAACAAGAACAAACAUUUAAGUAGAACUAGUUAAAUAAUUCAAUACUAUGCAUCAUUGGCCUACCUGGAUGUGCAUCAUGGGAAGGAGUACUCGCGCGCCAUGUAUAACAGCCAACUCAGAAGCCUCCACAUGCAAUCUGCCCCGCUUUAAAUAGAAAAGGCCAAAACGCUCACUUGUAUAUAUACCACGAGAAAUUUUUCAGAGUACCCGGUACAUUAGACAUCUGGUGUACCAUCAAUAAACAUCUAACAUGUGGUAAAUCUGUUUUCUAUUAAAUCUCUUGCUUUUUUUAUUUUGUUUUGUUCGAGAUGUAGUCUAUUAACAAAACAUUUCAACGGUUGGAAAAAGAAAAAGAAAAGUUUUAACUCCAUUAGUUUUUUAGUAUGUUCAUCUUCUUCUUUGGUAGAUUUCUAGAUUCACCCCUUUCAUCUUCUUCCUUUGUAGAUUUGCAGAUUCACCCAACUCCAAAACAUACUAAACCCCUUUUUCUUUGCUGGGUUCAAGCCCUUCUUGGUGUUGCACAUGGCGGAUAGCAUGACCGAGGACUUGACAGAGAAUAGGCAAGCAAAAUGGAGACGAUGCAGUGCCGUCGCUUUUAGGCUGGUGAGGAGGGUGGGAAUUUUAUGGACGACAAGAUCUCACCAUUGAUUUGGCGGUGGAGACUCUCAAGAUGGCGAUGUUGGGGGAUUUCGAGAGUGCACAACUGACGGGAUUGAGAAUUAACUGUGAAGAAGGUUGUAGAGUUAUUAAGUUCAAAUCAGACUGUGAACAAGGUUGCAAACAAAGAAGAAGAGUUUCAAAAUUUUUAGAAUGAGUUUUGAUAAAAAUAAUAAAGAAUCAACUACUUUUCAACAUAAAAAAAUAAAACAAUAAAAAAGCAAAUUUGAGUGGGAAAAAAACAAAAAGCCACGUUGCAGAUGCCUAUUGGUUCGGUACUCCACCUGUUAUGUAUGAAGUGGAGUUCCUAGAACAGGGAAAAAUUUCUCAUAUACCACAGCAAUACACCAUUAUAAUUGUGUCUUUCGUUAAUAAUGACAUAUGAAAAGAAUUUAACACACGUACAACAUAUAUUCGUAUCAUACGCGUCCUUCUCUAAAAUACUCCUUUGAUCGAUCCCAUAGGCCACAGGUUAAGCUUUCCCUUUCAAACUGGCCCCUUUCAACUUCCUAUUUGCUUUUAAUUAGCUUCCAAAUCAAUAGUAAUUACCACUGUUCACCCCAUAAUAAUUAUGUUAAUUUCACACAGCCUGCAGUGACCCCCAUUCCACAUUAGUAAUAUUUAGUAUAAUUCUUGCGCUCUCUCAUUGGGAAUGUGCAUAUCUCACUUAUUUCACAUAAUGUAUAUUGGCUGUUUAAACUUUGUAAUCGAAAUCAUUCAAUUUUUUAAUUUUUAUUUGAAAAUUAGUCCCACAAAAAUUUCGUUCGAAUUGGAAAUAGUUUAGUCAUCCAAAUAUAUAAAACAAACCGACAGUGUAAGUACCAAGUAACAUAUUUUAUUCACGAUGAACCGUUCAUUUAUAUGACAUAUUUGGAUGACAAAUUGGAUUUGAACAAUCUUUUUUAUAGAUGAUCUUCAAAUGAAAAUUAAAAAUAUGAAGAAUUCCAUUAUUAAGUUUAUAUGGUGAAAGUACGUUAUUCACAAAGAGAGAUAUUUAUUCCCUCAUGGGAGGAACACAAGUAUUAUCCUAAUAUUUAUAGUUUUUAUGUUACAACUAUAUUUUCAAUGAUAAAAUAUGUAGACAUAAUUUUUUAUUUGCCUUGGAACAACAGGUGCUCUCUAAGCUUGCCCUAUAAACAAUCUGUCUCCCUAGCCAUUUUUUCUUGUCCUCUGAUUUUUUGCUGCUAGCUAGUUUUGAUAUUUCCUUUAUUUGAUUUUUGACUCGAUCCUUAAGUAAGAGAGAUGGGAGGGUGUGCAACGAAGCCAAAGGUGUCAAAGGGGGAGGCGGCGAGCGAGGCGCCAGUACCAGCUCCAGAGCCUGCGGCCAAGGAAGAUCAACCAGCCGCGGUGGCGGCGAGCGAGGCGCCAGUGCCAGCUCCAGAGCCUGCAGCCAAGGAAGAUCAAGCGAUAGCCGCAGCAGCGGUUGAUGAUCAAGAAAAGGAGAAGGAGGUGGUGUUAGUUGCUGAUAGCGAUGAAGCUGAGAAGAAGAUAGAAAUAACUCCUGAGCCUGAGCCUGAGGAGGCUCAGGGUGGUGGUGAUGAUAAAGCCAAGGAGAUCGUUGAUGAUGAUGGACAAGGAAGUAAACGACGCUCUCUCAGUCUUUUGUUCAAGGUAAGUACCUAGUAAUUAAAUUAUUAUACGUAUAGCACAUUCUUAUUUUUUUUUACGCCAACAAAUCACAUGAUAUUGUUUUAAUUCUUCUCCUCACAGUGAAAGGAAUAUAAGGAAUAUAUAUAUAUAUAUAUAGAGGCCCUUUAUGCAAAGGGAUCCUUAUUUUUUUUCAAAAAAUGGGGACUAGGUGUGGAGCCCACUUCACAUUGAAUUUCAACGAUUUGAAUUAUCUAGUUUGUAAGUCUUGAUUCAUAGAUCAUCCUUGCAAAAAAUCAAUUCAAUCCAAAAUCAUUUACCUAUUUAAUUAUCAAGAUCAAAUUUCAUUGUUUCUUAUAUAACAAAGUAUUUGUUAAUUUUUUUGAACCUAAUUAGAUGACUUAAAUAUUUCCGAUUUGGCUAAUAUUUUGUAAAGAUAAUCUAUGAGGUGCAACUUGAAAAAUAGAUGGUUUGGAUCGUUAAAAUUUGAUGUUGUGUGGACUUCACAACUAAUCCCCAUUUAAAAAAUAAAAUAAAAUCUCUUCUCUUAAAGACUUCGUGUGUGUGUGUAUUUUGAACUAUAUCUAGUAAUAGUAGCCGUGUGUCUCCCGUCAUCAUGUUUGUGACAACUUUUUGUUACUAUAGUCAUUAGCUGUUAGUAGGAAAUCCUUGCAAAAUCCCGUUUUUAAUAUCAAAUUUAACACAUGUAUUAUUUUUCCCUUAUCGUUAUUUAAGUCUUCUUAUAUCUCUAACUUACGAAUGACACCUUUAUCCUAAGAUUAGUUGAUCUUGUCACGAUUUUUAACUUCAUUAUGAAAUAACCUUUCAAACAUUUUCUAAAUCCAUGUAUAUAAUUUGAUUUUUAUAGAGUUAUUGUAGAGUUAUUACUUAGCAGUACGACACUCAUUACCCCACUUACCGUGUAAUGAUAUUCUUCUUUACUAGUAAGUGAAAUGUUUUUGUCAUCAAAAUAUUCCUGUGUUUUUCUUCUUCUCCUAAAUUCAUGCAAACUUGAAAAUGGGGUUUUAAACACAAGACUUCAAGUGCAUGGACAAAUGCUCUUAAUUAAUUGAGUUACAAACCAUUUGCAUAGUGUUUUUCCUUUUAACUUUUAUCAUCUUGGGGAGUGCUAUCAACCAUUGCAUUUGCGCCUUCUAACUUUCUCAAAUGCCAAAUUUCAUUUUUUCACACACAAAAAAAAAACAAAAAAAAAACCCUUUAAUGUUUUUUUGGUAGGAAUUGAAGAUGGAAAACAUAAAAAAUUAUAAUACCAAAGGUAUUAAUUUUUUUUUUUUUUUUGUAUAAAAUAUUUUUUGUUUGUCAAACGUUGGAUUUUGUUAUAUUAGACACCGAUAGGGUUCAAACUCAUGAUGUCAUGCAGGAGCUCAAUUCCUCUCCAUCAUUGUGGUAAAUGGUCAUUUGCGUUUUUUUUGUAUAAAACAUGACACAUGUCACUUGUUAAAGUGAAAAUGUCCAAAUGCAAAAGUUAAUGUGCAAAGUUGCUAGCAUUUUUUCUUUUAUUUUUUAAACAAUAAUAUAUUUACAAAGGAAUGUAUAUUUGUGUUCAAAUACAUAAUAAACCAACCAUAAUAAUUUGAUAUCAAACUUAUGAUAUACGUGAGUCGAACAAAGAUAGUUUUAAGAAAUUGAGAGGAAUACCUCUAUACCAGAUGUUGGAAAACUAAAUCAUAAAAAUUUCAUUCCAGGGCCCAUUCCGUUUGGGAAUUACUUUGUUUUAACGCAUAUGAUAUGAGAACUUUUUAGUAUUUAUAGUUACAUUUGUUUUAGCAUUAUUAUUAAAAACAUUAAAUAAUUACUUUCAGUUUUUUCUCUAGAAAAAAAAUAGUUGUCAAACUAACCUAACUUUUAUAAGCUGGCCAUGUCUUUAUGCUUGUCUAAUGUCCUGUCGGCAUUAUAAUAUUUUUCCAUCAGACUCUCAGCCGCUGAGAUAUUUUUCACUGAACGAUGACCAUAAGGUUUGCUGCCCGACAUUUGAUUAAAUAUAUUUUGGAAGUUUACAUGCCGGCAACCUCCUACUUGUUUCUUUCUUUGUGUUUUAUUCAAUUUAUUUUCUUUGGCUGUUUAAAAUUCGUCUUUCCGUAGUUAUAUGGGAGGGGGCAUGCAUGGGGUAAACAAGGCAGGCCCUGGCUUCUUAAAAUCUCUCUCUCUCUCUCUCUCUCUCUCUCUCUCUGCAAAUUAAAAUGUGCGAACAGACUACCUGCCAGGUUAAUUAUUAAAGAUGUAGUUUAAAAACUUAGGGAAUUUUAGUGGCGAAUCUAGAAUUCUCAUAUUAAGUGAUCCUAAUCAAGGUAUGAUAAGAGCUAGUUAGGUGGCGAGCUAGGAUCUAGGCCCUAACACUUACUUGAGUGAUGCUCAAGUCAUUACGAGUUCAAAUACUUGACAAAAUAUUUUUUAGAGGUCGUGUGAAUUUAUAGUAAGUUUUAUAAAAAUAAGGAUGUCAAAUGUAUGGGAUAAAUAUACUAGUUAAGUAAUACACCAUUCUUUUAUUAAUUAACAUGCUAGUUGGUACAAUCUGAUUGGUCAACAUUUAAAAAGUGGCAGUUGGUCACGUGAGAAAUGGAAAGCUAAUGUCCUUCUUCCUCGUUGGAACCAAGGUCCAAGAGCAACAGAGUUAUAGUGGUCUUCUUUGUGUUCCUCUUCGUUUGAAAUUAGAUAUUUCUUAUUGGUCAAAACUUAUGUUGCACAACAUUUGCACAAUCAUGGUGGUCUUCUGUCUGCCACUACCUGCCUAGACUUUUGGGUGGUCCUCAAAGGUCCUCACAUGCACUUCUUUGGAUUUCUAGGUGGUUCCGGACCACCUGAGUACAUAUGCAUCGACCCCUAGGAUACUCAAUCAAAAUCUCAAGGGAAUUUCUUAAAGUACAAAGUAUUUAGCUAGGAUUUGAAAUGAAUUUAUAGAAGUCCAGUUGUAUUCAAAAUACCAUUGAUUUGAAGGGAUUUUUAAAAAUAAAGGAUUAGAUAGGAAUUAUACGGUAAAUUAAGUCAUAACAAAUCUUGCCUCUACCCUUAAGAUUUUGUUGGAGUUUCCGUUUCCUUCGAUCCUCAUGAUAUUACCUUACUGACUUACCAGUCCCACUAUCACAAUCAGUUGCCCUCCAAUUUGCCGUAUUUAUCUUCAAUUUCCUCUUAAGCCACACUACAUAUAUCAUCCAAAUCACAAAAGUCUCAUGUCUCACUUCCAUUCAUUCAACCACAAUCGACCUUGAGUCUCUUCAUGCCACACCCAGACUUGUUUAUCCAAGUGGACAUCGAAUUCAAGGCAUGCUAACCGACAUCUAAAAAGUGACGAAGCCAUAAUAUGGGAAUGAUGUAUGGAGAAUACGAGUAAAUUAAAACAGAAAUCUAGAACUAUUGAUGAGAGUGCGCAGUACAAGAUGUACACAUAUUACAAAGUAUGCAAUUGUCAAAACACAACUAAUAAUGCAGUGAAAGUAGGAAUUUUCUCAUCCUGAUUAGGAUGAUAUUACACAACUAUAGGAAUUGAAAAUUCCUACAUCAACUAGAGUAGAUGCCAGAGCCACCAAAGAUCACUCAAACUCGUCACAGAAAUCUAGCUACUAAGUUCUGAAAGGGUGCAAAACAGAAAGUGUAAGUAGACAAAAGCAGGAGUUUAUUAAAACCUUUGCUUUUCGUAGAAUACUAACCCCUUGAUGUAAAACCCAUAUGAUUUCCAAAAUAUCAUACUGCAUAAGAGUAUGAACAUCAAUUACCAUAAUAUCCAAAUGUACGGUAAACCACAAUAUUUCAAUAGCAACAAAUUAAUAUCACAUGCUCAUCAAAAUAUGCAGACAUACAUGUCCAUGCAGAAGUAGCUAUAUGAAACAGGCAGGGUGUAAACCGUGUAAUAAUUUACGCUCAAGUACUACAUAGUCCUAAAGUUGGCACUAAGCGUAUCACAUACGAGUCCUAGUUUCCUUGCCUAAUGCAAACUAGUACAUCUAAGGUGAGCGUACCGAUACGAUAUGAACAUUCAUGAGAAGUUGGUCCUAGCCCGAACAAGUAUUAUAAGCACCAGUAUAAGCAUGCAUGAUGAGCAAAUAAAAAUAUGUAUGAUCAUGUCAUCAUAAUUUCAUAAAUCUCCAUAUUCUCGAUUAAUAAUCAUAAGUAAAAGCAAGACAUGAUGUAAAAAACACAUUAUCCAAGUAGUUAUGGAAACUAUAUACAUAUACAUGUAUAUAAAACAAAGCACACUCACUAACACGUAGUCGGUCGUAGCCGCCUUACCUUGCUUGGCCUCUGAACUCCUCAGGGUAAGUCCUUCUAUAUGGAAAACCACAAUACUAUUCAUUAAACAACCCAAAAUUUGUAAAUACUACGGAAAAGACUCAAAAUUCUCUUUGUUUGCUCAAAACGGGGAUUGAAAGUGUUAAAAACAAAGCUCGAGAGCCACCUCGCGCCGCCACACACUGGCCGAAAGCCGCUGGGAGCCGUCACACGCUAGCACACGCUGGCUGGCGCCGUCACACGCUGGAGUGGAAUAUUUCGUCGCCGGAUAUACAUGUCGUUAACGGAAAAUGCAGCCGGCAUUUAGGAAUAUUCCGUCACUGUGACGAAAUAUUUCAUCGUCCUCUUCUUUUCUUGGGAAUAUGGGGCCCAUCGUAGUCUAGUUCGCCGGAUUCUGAGUUUUUUGCCGAAAAAAAUCACAUAUUUAGAACGAGCUCAUUUUUCAACCAUUUAGCAUGAUCUUUAUAUCAAAAUGAAGCUAGGAAGGAGAGGAACACGUUUUGUACCUAAUUGCAAGUCCAAAAAGUGGCCUGUAAGUUUCGGCCCGAAUCAAAAGUUGUGGGAUUCUUUGAUCCCGAAGUAGAUCGAAGCUCAAGUUGCUUGAAACAUAGUCUAGGGAUGAUGGUGAUUAGAAUGUCUUCCUCCAACUCGCCCAACUCGAUGGAAAAGGUCGGAAAAGUCACCGGUUUUCUCUACAAAAGUCACCGGAAAACGGACCUAUGAGAAAAAAGUUGAAUCUCACUAAAGUAAAGUAGAUCUUCAUGUGCAAUAAGUCUAGAAGUUACCUGCUUUGACAAUGAGUCAAUCGGGACCAAGAUUGUGGUCUGACGCCAUCUGAAUCGAUGGAAAGGUUGCGGAAAAGUUUGUUAUCCAUAUAGUUUAUAUGAUCAAAACACAAGAUAUACAAUUAUAUAAAAUUUAUAUGAAACACUUACUUGUUGAAGGUGCAGCAGCCAUGCAAAUAAUGCGUGAUUGAGAGAACACCAAUUCUGGUACGUUUGCCGUGAUCGAGAGAAAACACCAACUCUUUUGCAAACUCCUAGCUUUAUGACAAUGCUCUAUGAGAAGCCUUAGUUGUCGUGUCUAGGGUUAGCAGGGACUGGUGUUUAUAUACUAGCCAAAAAGUCUUAGAUUCCGUCCAUAAGGGAAAGCUAAAACUUUCCUUUCUUGGGUCUCAAGUAAAAUAUCAUAAUCAUAUAUUAUUAAGGAUUCAAUCAAAACCUACUUAUAAUGUAAGACACUUAAUGUAGGGUUGAUAUAAGGAUAUCAAAUCGCAACUUAACUGAUCUCCAACUUAUACAUUCCUAUUACAUAUAGUAGACCAUUUAUGGUUGAUUUAUGUUGAAUAAAUCCAACAUUCUCCCACUUGGUCUACUAAUUGUAAUGAUCAUGCUUCAAAACAUAUGUUGGAGGUCAUUGUUUCUUUAAUGGCCAUAUCACUGCGAUCCAAUCCCAUCCUUAAUUCAAAUUUCUGUCAAAUGGACUUCUAAAUGUAGAACUAACAAGGUUGUAAAGAUAUUUCAUCUCAGAACCUUCAUAAUCACAUACAUUGAGUCAACCAUUCACAUGAAAACCAUCAGAUUAUGAUCUAGAGAUGAACUUUAACUCAAGAACUGUCUUACUCUGUAUCAUCUCAGGUCCACUUUAUUGUAACUUUCAUAAGUCACACCUUAUGCUUUUAAACGGUCUACAUGUUUACCAAUGCAAACUUUUUACCAUUCCAAAGUCACGCUUAUGCUUUUAAGCAGUCCACAUGUUUGCCAAUGCAAACCUUUUAUCAUUCCAAAAUAAACUUAUGCCAAUGGAAUUAAAUAUGCAUGCAUCAUGCAAACACAAUAAUUAAAAACAAUCUUUAUUCAAACCCAACCUCGAAAACAAACCACAUCUCAAAACUCAAAGCUCAGUGAGUUUAGCUCACUUAUUUUACUAUAGCUAAAAAACAGUUUUCUACUCCCACUAACUCAGCAUAUCAAAGUUCGAGAUCAAUCCCAUAUUUUCUACAUGCUUCCUAAAAGACAUGACUGAAAGUGGCUUGUUCAAGGGAUUUGCAAGCAUUGAUGCAGUAUCAAUAUAGCUGAUCUUUAUGAAUGCUUGCUUAAUCUUUUCCCUAUUCAACUUGUACUUGAUAUGCAUGUGUUUGGUCCUAGAAGACCAUUGUUGUUCUUCAAAUAGAAAACUGCAGCAAUAUUGUCACAAAAUAUUUGCAACGGAUUUGUGACAAUGUUGAGAACUCUUAUUCCCUUUAUGAACUUUCCAAUCCAUAUUGCCUGGGAAGUAGCUUCAAAACAGGCCAUGUAUUCUGCCAUCAUGGUAGAUGUAGCUAUGCUCUUCUGUUUCAUACUUUUCCAUGAGAUUGCACCUCCUGCCAUCAUAAAAAUGUAGUUAGAAGUUGAUUUCAAUGAGUCUUGACAUCCUGCGAAAUCUGAAUCACAGUAGCCAACCAACUCGAGCUUGUCACUUCUCUUGUAUACCAACUUAUAGUCUUUGGUUUUCUGCAAAUAUCUAAGCACCUUCUUUGCUGCAAUCCAAUGAGCAUAUCCAGGAUUCAACUGAUAUCUCCCCAGCAAACUCAAUGCAAAAGAAAUGUCAGGUCUGGUGCAUACUUGUGCAUACAUUAGGCUCCCUACGACUGAAGCAUAUGGUUUAUCAUUCAUCUAAAGUUUUUCAGCUUCAGUUUUGGGACUUUGCAGUUUACUCAAUUUAUCCCCUUUUGUUACUGGUAGAUCACAACCACUGCAUGUUGACAUAUUGAACCUCUUGAGUAUUUUCUCAAUAUACUCCUUCUAUGAUAGCCUAAGUAGUCCUCUGUUUUUGUCACAAGUGAUUUCGAUUCCUAAGACAUAAAGUUUUGAAUAGAGUUCGUAGUUCUCUAAUUUCUGGCUGUGAGUUUGGGAAACGAAAGGCACAAUCGUGCUGGGUUUGAUGAGUGGAUCAUGAUGGUGAUGGUUGGAGGUUCGAUUCGUCGAGCAUGAUGUCAUUUUUCUCUAAGUUGCAGAAGAAAGAAGAAGAGUGUGAGAGAGGUAGAGAGAGAGAGUUGAUCAAUAGACAGUAGUGUUGUCAAUGGGAUGAUUACCGUUCCCCUGAACUUAAAACAAGUGUAACUUAUCGUUAGAAGUCUGAUUUAACUUCAGUUCACGCUUACACGCCUAUAUCGAUGAGCACUACUCAAAUAUGGCAAGAAAAGAGACGAAAUAUGAAGUGAGCUCAAAUGUCUACGUAGGAUUCCGAUUAGCCCAACAAGAGUAUUUUCGUCAUUUCACAGCUUCGGAGAGAAAAUAAAAAUGAAAUUAAGGAUGGUUCAUCACACCCCACCUAAUUCUUGUUAAUGAACAACCAAGAAGCUUGUUCGUCCUUCAAAUUUCUUUUGCUAGUGACUUUGUUAUUACCUUGUUUCCUUUUUUUUUUUUUGGGAAUUGUUAUUAACACUCCAAAUUUCUCAUUCUACACUCCAAACUUUCUAUAUUUAUAAAGAAAAAUACAAGUAUGAGGUGUAGAAUGAGAUUUUUGGAGUGCCAAUAACAUUUUUUUUUAUUUUUAUGAAUUUUGAUAGUCCAGAGGCAUUGUGCUAUAAGAGGAUUACUUAGAUGGUAAUAUCAUGGUUUUUCACAUCUGAGUUUGAAAAUGGGUUUGGACAUCUCAUUUUGCAUAUGAGUGCAAAGGAGCUGCAACUUUUAGUUAUGAUUUCCACCUCGAAUUUAUUUAUCAGAUGUAUUUUCGUCAUCUGAUUUUGAAUUGUAGUAAUUUCAAGAUAUUUCAAACUUACAGUAUUUUUUUUUUCUUUUUUUAUUAUGGGGAAGAGGGUAUAUGAGAGUUUAUAAAUCAACAAAAUCUUUUAAAGUUUCGAUUGAAUCCUCCUGAAUUGUUGGUUUUGGAAGAAUUUUGAUUACUAAUUCAAAAAAAUUUAUUUUGGCAUGACAUUUUCAAUUGCAUGCAGUUAUGAACAAGUCACGUCUUUGUAGACUCUCAAGUGUAAAUCUAACGGUGUAAUUUUAUACCUUUACAAAUUGCUAGCAAAUAAGUUACUCCAACUUACGUUUCUAGUAAAUUUAUGAGUACUAGAUUUAUUGAUAUUCUAGCCUGGAAUUUAGCAGAAUGUAGAAGGGAAGGAGGAGUCAACAGAACCAGAGAAGCAACUUGAACCCGAAAAGCCUCUCGAGGAAAAGACCCAUCAUGCUCCAACAGACAUAGCAACAGAAGAUGCAUCAGCAGCAUCAGAAAAAGUUGCGGGAGCCGUGACCGAAACUGCUGAUCAAGCAACAAAGGAAGUGAAGGUGGCUGCUGCAGAAGAGGCCAAGUAACACAGCAAUGUUGUAUCGCUAUUUCUCUUUGGAUCUUGCCAACGUUGUUUAGAGGACUUUUUAUUUAUGUCUCUCUCUAUUCUGUUUUCAUUUCUUCCAUUUCAUUUGAAUUGAUAUGCUUUUUCGUUCUCUAUGCGGAGACAUGACAUUUUAGAUUGAAUAUACAAGUAUAGGUAAUAUUUGUCAUAAUUACAGCUUUACACAUGCACUAUUUUCACUUUACGUGCCAUACAAUGGGUAGGAAAUAUUCUCUUUUGCCAAAAUGUCAGGAGAUUAAUUUUCCUUUAUUUUAGUAAAUUGCAAUUAACUGCAAAAGUUACUUUAAAAGAUGUUUCAAAAUCCAAAUUAAUUCAUUCAAACAAACUUGUUAGAAUAGAAUCAUUAAAUCUGGAUUCUUCUCCGUAAUUACCUCUUAUGGCUCAGUUAGAUUUCUUUUUGUUAUCACUUUUUCCUUAUUGUUAUUUUUUUUAUUUUAACUUGGGUUCCAGAUGUGACGUUUAGUGUAGCUAGCUUAAAAAAAUGUGAAAACUAAUGAAAAGAGCUUGAAAACCUUGAGUUUUAAUAAAAAUGACAAAAUAAAGGGUAAAGUGAAUAGUACCAGGAUUAACCGUUCAGUGUAAAAAUAUGAUUUUUCGUUAAAGUAAACAGUACUAGGAGCUUUUCGUUAAAGUUCCCUAAACAAAUUACUAUUGUUUUUUCUGCUUUAUAUUCUUAUGUGAAAUAAUUAGUUAUGAAUUCUGCAAACAUGAAAAUUCUGUAACGAAUGAAACAAGAAUACGUGUACAAAGUAGAUUUGUAUUGAUUUGAAAUUGUAGGUUACAAUCUCUUUUUCUAUUUUCCUCUGAUUCAGUCUUCAAAUUUGAUGUAGAUGUGUAGCUUGUUGAUCCAAGGGUCGCGAUGACUUGAUCUCGGACGAACAAUUGAACGAUUGCUUCAAGUUUUGAGUUUGAAAUGGUGUGUCGAUGGUAUUCAACUCAAAGCUACGGCAAAGGGUGAUGUUGAUGCAGGAUUUCGUUGAUUCAAGGGUCUUGGCGACUUGAUCUUGAAAUGAACGUCAUUAUAGGUUUUGAGCUUGCAACAAAGUCUUGAAGGAAUCAGCAUGAUGCUUGUUGAUUCUUCAAGGGAGUGCUUCGGCUUUGGUCGAAAGAAAGCUUCAGCUUUGGUUGAACGUUCUUCGAAGAGAGCUUUGGCAGCGUAUUAGUCUUCAAAGUUUUGUGUAGAGGUCCUUCUCAAUGUAGAAUUUUCGACCCUUUGCUUGUGGGAGGAACUUGUAUUUAUGGACUACUCAAGGCUUGCCUUUGGAUGGAUUUAGCUUUGAUUUGUGUCUUAAUUCAUCCAUGGGAUAAUUUAGGGAUAUUUUGUGUCUUAAUUUCAGCCAUCUUUACUCCCUUGGCCGAAAUUGAGAGGCUUUAUAGCCUAUUUUGUGAACAAUCUUCAAUUCUUGCUUGUUUUGUGAAGAUGCCUUAACUUUGUUUCCAGUUUUAGGAUCACUUGAGACCCUUUUGCCAAAUUUAAGGGAGUUUUCUCCCUUGAGCCGAAUUUUGGGAAUGUUUUAUACUUCCCUUGCUUGAUUUAUGCCACAUGUCAUUGAUGACUUGUCCAUUUGUGAUGAGUCAUAUGCCACGUGGAGCUUUGUGAUGCAUCAUUUGUAUGCAACAAAAUUUACAUGUCUACAAAUGCCCCCACUUCAAGGCGCGUUGUAGGCAUGAGCUUGUCACAUGUAGGAAACGUGUUUUGAAGUCCUAGAAUGUGAAUGCUCUAACUCAAGAGUCGUCAAGACUUGAUCAAUUAGUUUGCUUCUUAAAGGGUUGUAGAGGUGUAUUUCUUGAAUUGACAUGAUGAAUUUCGUCAAGGGCUAUUGAGGCGUAUUUCUUGAACGAAACAUUUCUUCAAGGGUUGUUGAGGCUUGGUCUUGAAUUGAAGUGAUAAAUUUCGUCAAGGGCUAUUAAGGCGUAUUUGUUGAACAUAAUAUUUUUUCAAGGGCCGUAAAUGCUUGAUCUUGAAUUAAACGAAAAUUUUCUUCAAGGGCCGUAGAGGCUUGAUCUUGAAUGAAAUGAAAAUUUUUCUUUAAGGGCCUGAGAGGCUUGAUCUUGAACGAAACAUCUCUUCAAGGGCUGUUGAGGCUUGAUCUUGAAUGAAAUGAAACUUUUUCUUCAAGGGUCAUAGAGGCUUUGAUCUUGAAAGAAAUUUUGAAAAUGGAUAAAUCAGCACAUACUUAUUGUGCGUAUUUGAUUUUGGGUUUUUACACAAAUAGUCCCUGACAUUGAUCAAACACAUCAUUUUGGUCCCUGACAUUGAAAAUCAAUAGAAAUGAUCCCUGACAUUGAUCAAACACAUCACAAAUGGUCCUUCCGUUAAAAACUUUUUGGGCAAUUUUCAAAGCUUCGUUAUUCAAUCGUUUCUUAACCAAAUUCGACCCAUGAUGUAUCAAAAUCAAGAUAGGAAAGUGUAGAAAAAGAUAAUACCUAUUUGGAAGCCCAAUGUUUGCUGGCGAUGGCCGGAAAAUAGCCUCAAAUGUGACUGGUCCGCGAAAAAACUGGAAAACUUGCCUGAAAUGGGGUAAACUUUAAACAUUCAUAACUUCUUCAAUACUCAACGAAAUUGAGUGAUUCAAAAAUUAAAAUCAUACUUCUCAAUGAGACAAAUAGAAUGGUACCUUUAUUGACUGCUAAUUUAUGAUGGUUUGACCGAAAAAUGGCUCAAACUUGGAUAACCAUUUUUGAGUUAGCCAAUUUCGAGUCGUUUUCCGGAUAAACUAUGACGAGUUAGCCAUCAAGAUAGCUACCAUUCUCUUAGUCUCGUCGAGAAGUAUGAUUUUCGUUUUUGAAUCACUCAAUUUCGUUGAUUAUUGAAGAAGUUAUGAAUGUUUAAAGUUUACCCCAUUUCAGGCGAGUUUUCCAGUUUUUUCGCGGACCAGUCACAUUUGAGGCUAUUUUCCGGCCAUCUCCGGCAACCAUUGGGUUUCCAAAUAGGUAUAAUCUUGUUCUACACUUUCCUAUCUUCAUUUGGAUAUAUCAUGGGUCGAAUUUGGUUAAGAAACGAUUGAGUUACGAAGCUUUGAAAAUUGCCCAAAAAGUUUUUAACGGAAGGACCAUUUGUGAUGUGUUUGAUCAAUGUCAGGGAUCAUUUCUAUUGAUUUUCAAUGUCAGGGACCAAAAUGAUGUGUUUGAUCAAUGUCAGGGACCAUUUGUGAUAAAAACCCUUUGAUUUUCCAUAAUCUUUGACAAAAUACAUUUGGUGUAUUUUGGGACUUGAUUUUCUUUUCCUUGUGGGUGUAGGAAACAAAUGUUUUUCUUUCUUGGUAGGAAUCCUCUUCAAUUUCGGUAACGAGAAUGACUUCCUUCAAAGUGUUGGAAAGCUUUUAUGACUUCCUUCAAGGUUUUGGAAAGGUAAAUAGGAUGUGCAUUUUUUUCACUUUCCCUUUUUUUUUUCUUUUCCCACUACAAGGAGGUGUCUUUUUCUUUCCCCUUUUGAUUUCCUGCGGCAAGGAUGGUGUUUUGUUCUUUCCCCUUUUGAUUCCCCACGGCAAGGAAGAGAUUUGAUUGUUUCUUGUUUUGAUUUCCAUGGCAAGAAUGACAACUUUCUUUCCUCUUUUUGAUUCCCAUGGCAAGAAAUGAGUCUUUCUUUCCACUUUUGAUUUCCUAUAGCAGGGAAGGGUAUUUUUUAUUUUUUAUUUUCUUUUGAUUCCCCACGGCAAGGAGGUAUUUUUCCUUUCCUUUUUUUUGUUUUGGGAAACAUGUCAUCUGACUUGCACGCUUAGUUUGAGGUUGAUUUCUCUUCUGAAAAAUUCAGUAAAAAUAUGGAAAAUGUAGCCUUAUCCCUUAUCUUUUCAGGCAUAUAUCGCAUGCCACUAGAAAAAAUUGGAAAGCCUUCAACUUUGCAUUUUCCUACAACUGCGCAAUCCUGACUGGAAAACAACUUUUGCGGGAAUAACUUUGAAAACUGGAAUGUUUGGCUUUAGGGAAAAUUAUGAAAUUUGGAUCCUCAGCCGCUUAGCUUCCUUCUUCAAUUGGCCUUGGAUCAAAACUCCCUUGGAAAGAUGAAUUAUCACCAAAAACGUCGUACUUGCGCAGAUUGACUGAAACUUGCCAUUGUUUUGGAAUUUGCUUCCUUCUUUUGUUGGAAUGUGCUUCCUUGUUUUGAUUUUUCUUUUGCUAUUUGGGUAUGCAUUUCUCUUAUAGCAUUAGGAAGCAAUUGACCCCUAUUUAUAGGACAAUUGGGUGUGCAUUUUUUUUCACAACACACAAUUCUUGUUGUGGGCUUGCUUGGAGCUUUUGUCAUGGGUUUUGCUUGUUGUUGCUGCUUGGAGUACCAUGUGGUAUUGUGCAAAAGACUGUAGUGUUUAUGCUGUGUAGUGCCUUUUGGUCACAGUAUUCCCUUGGUAGUGACGUUGCCGUGCGCAUCUGUUCCUGCUGCUGCCAUGCCCUUUUUGCAGUUGUUUGGUGCGAGUUGUAGCUGCUUGAAGCUUAUUGCAGUGUGUCACUUUUACCAUGUGGGGAUGUGCAAAAGACUGCAACUAGUUUAUGCUGUGUAGUGUCUUUGGGUCAUAAUUUUCCCUGGUGGUGACGUUGUCGUGCAGUGCAAGAAACUACUUGCGUAAUCGCUGCAAGGUUGCGUAGUGCAAUUACAUGGCAUUUUGGCUUUCUUUGCUAAUGUAGCAUGCCUUGAAGGAUUGUCUUGUAGUUGCUCUCUUUGCAGUGCUUGAUUAAGCUUCAUGGCUGAUUUCCUUUUGUCAUUGUGAUGCUGUCAUCGUCAUGCUUCAACGUUCACCAGGUUUGUCUCUCAUGUCUUUUGCUUUAAUGAAACGAUUUUUUUUCGUUCUUUGCCGCCCCACUUUUGUUCUUAUGUUGCUUUGUUUAUUUUGUUGCAACCAUGGUAUUUUCAAGUGCUUUAAGAAUAAUACCAUCACUAUUCUUGCGAAGAAAGGUGAUUCACAAGAUAAGGGACGAUGUUGAAGCUUUACGCACCAUUGAUUGGCCUAAGGCGCUUGUUCUUCCUACAAAAGACAACUUGAUGCAUAUCAAGUCAUGGUCUUCUUAAGUGUCUUGGGAGAUGAUGGAUUUUGGUUAACCAACUCUGAAGAAGAAGGCAUGUAUAUCAAGGAUUCUUAUUUUGCAUCUUUCGCACCAUGCUCGCAACAAUUCACUGACUUCGUUUGAGCUUCUUGGUGAUCGCAUCCAUAGCAAAGCCAUGACUUGGAGUGGCACCUUGUCGACUACUGGAGAAGCUUCCUUUGCUGAGUUUUACUAGGAGUGGCUUGAAGAUGUCUUGAGCCGCUCCAAAUAUGUGCUUACCAACAUGGGCUUUUAUCAUGUUGUGUACACAUCCUUGUUUAUUUAUGAUCGCCAUCCUUCCAUCCUUCGUUCGUUCUUUGAGCAUUGGUGUUCAGUGACCAACACACUUCACACGGCUUAAGAGGAGAUAUCAAUUUCACUUUGGGAUCUCCACAAGAUAGAAGGCUUGCCGAUCCAAGGAGAAUUUUAUGACGAGGUGGUUCUUAGCGUGGAGGAGUUUUCUCAUCGUAACAGUCGAAGAUUGCUUGCAAGUUGCCGCUAUUUGUUUUGGGCAUACCACAAGCUUCCCAGGAGGCUCAGGGUAAGUCAGGCGUGAAGAUUUCUUCAUGGAUCCAAUUUUGGUAUUGGGAUGUCAUGAAGUAGAAGAGGUCUUCGAAGAAAAGUGGUCACAAUAAGACAACCAAGCCUAAGAAAGACUCAGAUUUGUCAGGUGUCAUUGGUCCAAUUAGGCAUCGUACCCUUACCGUGUUGAAAGCAUUUGAGGAUCUUGGCAUAGCAUUAGAGCACUUGGAAGAAUCUUACCUAGCCGUUUUCUUAGCUUGUUGGCUUUGUAAGUUUGUUUUCACCAAAAAUGACGUCAACUUUAUCCGUUAUGGAGUCUUUAAAGUUGCUAGCAAGAUGGCUGCAGGCGAAUCUUUUAGCCUUGCUAUUUCGGUUUUAGCCAAUAUUUACAAUGGCUGGAGUGUUGUUUCGAAUUCGACAAGCACCGAAAAUCAUGCUACGGUACCUCCCUACCAUUAUAUGUACGGUUGGUUGGGUGAGUACUUUGGCACUCAUUUUUCUUCGUCGACUUUAGACAAGUCAGAGCCUUCUUCACCAACUUCAGUCAAGCUGGGGCCUUUAAUGACAAAGUACUUUAGCGUGCUUUCUCCAAAGAGCCUUGAUCAUUUGUAAGCGUAAGUGUUGUUUCAAAGCUGUGAAGGUUUGAGAAUGGACCAUCUAGCAAGGGUUGGUUCAACACAGCGAGGCCUCAUAGAUGAUUCACACCUUUGUUCCUCUAACUUGUCUUAUCUUAUGAGCCUUCGCUCGGGGUAUGUUUCUUUGCUAUAAGGAGACCGAUGUAUUAUUCAGCCAUAUAGUCCUCACCGUUUCAGCAGGCAAUUUGGUUGUGUCCAACAUGUGCCAAGUGAUGUGAAUUAUAUAAGCACACAAAUUAAACCCUUUUGUCUCAAUUGUAGUAAAGAAUGUAAGUAGGGAUCGUUCUGGACCGAGGAUUAGGAGGGCUUGCUAAUAACCUCUAGACUGACUUAAAAACAUAUAAACAAAGUUAAAAACACUAAACUAGACUCAAAGAACUCAAAACAAACUCAAAAGACUCAAAACAAACUAAAAACGCUCAAAUCUGCCUAAAAACACAAACUGGGCAGAUUUGGACUCUAAACACAAUUCUGGACAAAUUUUGGUUUUUCCUUGACUCAAAACACUUAAAAACACAAUCUAAAACAUACUCUAACUAGUUAGACACUCUAGAGUAAAUGGGGGUUUCAUUUUGACGAAUUUGGAAACAAAACAAGUAAAUUAAUAAACUAAUGAAAUCUGCACGAAUUUGGGUAAAACUAUGGAUGAAGGAAGUAACUUAUUAGCCGAAACUGAAAUGCAAAUUGGGUCCAAAAACUUACCAGAUUGUAGUGGCAAUGAUUCGAGGGCAGCCACCAUCUCAAUCACAUCUUCAUUAGGGGGUACGGCAAGGGAAAAAUCAUUCAUGUCGUGGGGGUGCAUGGUUGCUGCUCCAUUGUUUUGAAUGUCCAUUCCUUGUGCAAUAACUAAUUCAAGUGCAUCGUCAUUCAAUUUUUCAAAAUGGUCCUACGCCAAAGAGUCAAUUACAUCAAUAGCAAAACAUAAAUGAUCCUUGAUGAGUAGAUUUUAUAUUAUAUAUUUUACCCUAAUCUUAGUAUAUUUUGGUUAAUAUAUUGGAAGAAUUUUGAUACUUUGAAUUGUAUUUUCAAUAUAGGACUUUCGACUUCCUCUGGAGCAAAACAGGACCAAAUGGACGAAUUUUGAGUAAUUCCAGUUGGAGGACGUUCGUGAGUCACUUAGCUUAAUCGUAUCAAAAUUUGGGAUUUUUCCACCAAGCGGUGAUUUUCUGCCGAUGAAAUAAAGAAGCAGUGUGCAGUGCUGGAAAAUGACGUUUUUGGGCUUAAAUUGCGUUUUUGGAGCCCAAGAUGACCUCGGAUGGGUUCGUGGCCUUCUGGAAAAGUGUUCAGAAUAUUCCAAACAUCAAAUCCAGCUAUAUUGGGCCAGUUUUGGAGCAGCUUAUGGGCCAAAACGUGGCUGUUCAGAUUUUAGACGAAUUUUGCUAUUUUUAUUUAGGGUUUUUAUUAAUUUUAGUUUGUAGGGUUUGUGUGGUGGCUUAGCAAAUAUAUUGCUUGGCCGUCUACAGUUUUAGACGACACUUUAUUUUACGCAAUAUUGGAGACAGAGAGAAGUGCUAGGGUUUUGAAGAUUUUCUACUUGAAGGUGUUUUCAAUCCUUUUCUUAAGAGAUAUUUCUAUGAUUUCAAUUAUGAAUAUGCGGAACUAAUUUUUUUUGCUAGGGCGAAGCCUUGAGCCUUAGCAUGAAUAUGUGAUUUUUAUUUAAUUGCUUAUGAUUGAUUGCAUGCAUAUUUUGAAUUGUUAAUCACCGGGAUAAAAACUAUAUAAUUGUCUUAAUGCCUGAUCACCAUUAGGAUAUUUAGAAAAGUAAUUUGAUGCAAUUUUGGUCGGAAGGUUCCCUGAAAUUGACGCUGGCUUCUUGUGAUUAAUAAUUGUAAUUUCUCUUAAGAUGAAUAUCACGUCUUAAGGAUUGCAUGGUUUUUCAAAGGAUUUUCAUAAAGCAUAAUGAGUCUUUCAUGUUUAGAUUUGAUCCGAACGUCCGGACGGGUUGCAUGUUAGAUAUACGUUCUAUGUUGGAGGUUCCAAGUAGAAUAUGAAUUAGGAAAAUCUAACCUUCAAAGUGGCAUGUGUAGAUCAUAAGUAAUUGGUAAAAAUUCAUAGGAUUGCUAGGUGAUGGUGGAACCCUAGUGCUUUCUUAAUUUUAUUCUCCCAAAACUAUUUUCUUUCUCUCUAGCUCUAAUAUUGCAGAUUGUUUAUUUUAAUUCAUUAAAUUCGUUUUUAUUUUAAUUAGGUUAUAAAAUCAAUCACUUCAAUUUCUACUUUGCAAUAAUUAAAUGGAAUCUGAUUAGUUCGAAUUAUUUAAUAAUCCAUGUGGAGAUGACCUUGCGAAAUCCGUUUAUACUACAAUAACCUUGUGAUUCUUGCAAGUAAAAUAGGAGAUUAAAGCCCGUUCACAUGAGUAGUAAAAAUCCUAUCAAUCCUCACUAGGAUACUUGAUAGAAUCAGAAAGAUUGAAAUUAAUAACUUCCCCAUCAAAUUCCAUCGUCAAAGUUCCAUUAAACACAUCAAUCUUAGUACGGGCAGUUUUGAAUGGUCAUCCAAGAAGGAUGGGCAGUGUAGGGGAAUGGUCUGACUCGUCCAUUUCAAGCACGUAGAAAUCUGCCGGAAAGAUUAAGUGAUUGACCUGCACUAAAACAUCUUCCAAAACUCCCUUUGGAUAGGCAUUAGAUCAAUCGGCCAAUUGUAUAAUCACACCAUCAUUUUUCAAUUCGCCUAAUUGCAUGGAUGCAUAAAUUGAAUAAGGCAUGACAUAUAUAGAUGCACCUAAGUCUAACAUGGCAGAUUCGAAACGAGUAUUAACAAUUGCACAAGGAAUUGUAAAACUACCCGGAUCCUUGCAUUUAGUGGGCAGUUUACGUUGUAAAACAAUUGAGACAUUUUCACUUACCUUGACAACCUCCUUACUCGAAAUUCUCUUCCUAGUUGUGCAAAGUCCUUUUAAAAACUUGGCAUACCUUGGAACUUGCUUCAUUGCAUCCAAAAGUGGUAUAUUGACUUGAACUUUUCUAAACGUUUCCAAGAUAUCCUUUUCAGCCUCCUUCUUCUUUGAUUGCAUAAACCUAUGAGGAAAGGGUACAUUUGGAGGAACAACGUUAGAAUUAAUCAAAAUUGGAACUUCCUUACCUUUGUUAGCAGAAUUUGAUGGUUUAAGAGCAUUUGGGACCUGCGGCAAAAGUGUUUCCACCCUUGCCGUGGGGGUGCUUUGCUCCUCCUCUUCAAUUAUCAACUCUUCAACCUCAUUGGAACGUGAUUCGGAAGUUGGGGAUCAGAUCCAACUUGUUUUCCACUUCGCAAACUCAUGGCUUUAGCAGAUUCGAAUCCUCAUUUCGGGUUGACAACGGUUGAACUAGGUAACUUACCUUGCUCUCUGAAUUGUCCUACAAACUCCACAAUCUGCCCAAUUUGCUUCUCCAUUUUGUCCACCCUUUUCUCUUGGUUUUGCAUUACUUUGGCUUGAUUUUCUUGCCCCUGAGACAAAGUGGUGAGUAACUUAAGAAGUGUGUCAUUAUCCAAAGAAUUACCUGAAGUGUUUUGGGCAGAUUGUUGUGGGGCUUGAGUAGGUGCGUAUGGCUUAGUAUAGAAGCCUGGGGGUUGCUGCCUAAAGCCACCUUGUUGUUGGGUUUGUUGGGGCUCUCUCCAGUUGAAAUUCGGAUGGUCUCUGCAACCAGAAUUAUAUGUAUUGGAAUAUGGAUCGUUUCUUUGCUGAUUUUGUCCUUGAAAUCCAAUAGCAUUAGCGUUUUCCUAUCCAUCAUUCUCAAUUAGUUGAGGGCACUUUUCAGAGGCAUGUCCUUGGAUAGAACACACGCCGCACACCAUUGGUCAUUGGAUCUUCAUUCAUUCGGCCAUCUGAGACACAAUGGAAGUAAGAUUAGCUAAUUGAGAUUGAAUAUCGGAUGUGGAACUUACCUCAUUCACUUGCUGUCGUGGGGUGUCCCUUUGCCCAAUGCCUUCAUAUUGUUGUGCAUUCAAUGCACGGUUUGCAAUUAGUGUCUUUGCUGCCAUAGGUGUUUUGUCCACCAAAGCUCCUCCCGGUGAGGCAUCUAGCAUUUUACGUUCAAUUGGUAGAAGGGCCUUCAUAGAAGUAUUGAAGUAGUAACUCUUCUUUCAUUGGGUGCUGUGGACAUGAAGCAACAAGAGUUUUAAAACGUUCAUAAUAAAUUGGAAAGGAUUCACCUUGAUUUUGUUGGAUACCACUAAUCUGUUUCCUCAAGAGAAUGACUCUUGAAGUAGGGAAAAUUUUCUCCAAGAACACUCGUUUCAUACUUUCCCAAGAUGUAACCGUCCCAGGUGCAAGUUCAUACAACCAAUCUUUAGCUUUGUCCAUUAGAGAGAAUGGAAAAGCCUUCAUCUUCAAGAUGCUACCAUCAACAUUGACAGGGGUCAUGCUCGAACAAACCACUUCAAAUUCCUUCAAGUGCUUGUUAGGGUCCUACAUGGACAGCCCAUGGAACUUCGAAAUGUGAUGCAACAAACUUGAUUUCAAUUUGAACUCGUCCGUCUUCCCUUGGGCAGCCAUGAGGUGUUGGACGCAUAGAGGAGCGGCAUUGUCCAAUCCCGAAGCAGAAAACUCCUUGAUUAUUCGAUUGUCUGCUGCCAUAUUGGGAUCUUCCUCUAUAACCUGUGCCGUGAGCUCAUCUUCUUCUUCAAGUGGAUGUUCUUCAAACUCAGGUUCAGGAAUAGGUGGGUUAUGAUCUUGCUGAUUCCUAUUCCUUCUCAAAGUCCUCUCAAAAUCAUCGUCAAAGUCCAAGAUAUGCUCACGAACCGGAUGAGAACUCCGAGUCAUAAACUAGUACCUAAAACAAGAAAACAAACAAGGUCAGUAACUAACACAAAAGACACAAAAAAGAAACAAAAAGAAACAAUGGGGGAUUAGCAAAGUUGCUAAUCCCCGGCAAUGGCGCCAAAAAAUUGAUGUGAAUUAUAUAAGCACACAAAUUAAACCCUCUUGUCUCAAUUGUAGUAAAGAAUGUAAGUAAGGAUCGUUCUGGACUGGGGAUUAGGAGGGCUUGCUAAUAAGCUCUAGACUGACUUAAAAACACAUAAACAAAGUUAAAAAAACUAAACUAGACUCAAAGAACUCAAAACAAACUCAAAAGACUCAAAACAAGCUAAAAACGCUCAAAUCUGCCUAAAAACACAAAUUGGGCAGAUUUGGACUCUAAACACAAUUCUGGACUAAUUUUGGUUUUUCCUUGACUCAAAACUCUUAAAAACACAAUCUAAAACAUACUCUAACUAGUAAGACACUCUAAAGUAAAGGGGGGGGUUUGGUUUUGACGAAUUUGGAAACAAAACAAGUAAAUUAAAGAACUAAUGAAAUCUACACGAAUUUGGGUAAAACUAUGGAUGAUAGGCUAGCUAGGAGGUUCUUCUCCACACAUGACACACUAAUAAACAAAAUGAUUUCCAGUUGCUUUUCAAUAAACCAUGAAUUCUCAAUGCCCCAAAUUAACCGUGAAUUGCACUAAUGAACCCUCAGAUUUUCCUAAUUUUAUUGAAUUGGAUGAUUGCAUACAACAACCCAAAGCAUUCCCCACAAGUUCCCUACUUGAAUUGCAUAAUAGCGAUACAAGCAAGAAUCAUUAAGUUCUAUGGAAAUCAUAAGCAUUGACGAAACACUUGUAACUAUGAAUUGCAUGAAACUUAUGCCAAGAAUUUACUUAACGCGAUUGUGACUAACAACCUUCACUACUUGUGAAUAUAAGUUCAUAACGAUUAGGUGAAACUCCAUUAUAUCCUAGCAUCAGAUUUAUGCAUGAAAAUUAAGCGUGCACUCUCAACUAACACACACAAAUCAAUUUUAAUUCAAACGGAUAAGUAAAUUGAAUUCACAACUUAUGAAUCACAACUGAAAGUAAUCAAAUCAUAUUACAAGCAUGAACAUGGUUUCAAAUUCCCCCUAGCUAAGAGGGGUUUAGUUCCUCAUACUCACAAAGCAAAGAUAAAAAAAUGUAGACAUUGAAAACAAAAGAAAGAAAACACCUAGACACUCCAGCGAUCCAAACUAAACAGCAAGCACGUCUACAAACUUCCCUCCUUCCUCUUUGUUUCGGCACAAGGUUUAGGGUCAGG
rnacentral:lncRNA from 1 species